rnacentral:rRNA from 1 species
AUAUCACUAAGCGGAGGAAAAGAAACCAACAGGGAUUGCCUCAGUAACGGCGAGUGAAGCGGCAACAGCUCAGAUUUGAAAUCCGGCCCCGGCCCGAGUUGUAAUCUGUAGGGGAUGUCCCUGGCGCGGCGCCUACCGAGUUCCCUGGAACGGGACGCCAUAGAGGGUGAGAGCCCCGUAUGGUUGGACGCCUAGCCUCUGUGGGACUCCUCCGACGAGUCGAGUAGUUUGGGAAUGCUGCUCAAAU